UCUUCAUUUCAGGACUAUUGGGAAAGAUACUGAUGGCUAUCCGAGACGCAGGGUUUGAAAUCUCAGCUAUGCAGAUGUUCAAUAUGGACCGAGUUAAUGUUGAAGAAUUCUAUGAAGUUUAUAAAGGAGUGGUAUCUGAGUAUAAUGAGAUGGUGACAGAAAUGUAUUCUGGCCCCUGCGUAGCACUCGAGAUUCAACAGAAUGAUCUUACAAAGACAUUUCGAGAAUUCUGUGGACCUGCUG